GCCUCGGUGGCGUAAUGGUGAAGAUGUUUGCCUGGUAAACAGGAGGGUGUGGGUUCAACCCCAGCCGAGGUA
rnacentral:tRNA from 1 species